UUUACUUACUUAAUUAGUGAUUAAGUAACCAAUUAGGUACCAUUAUGUAUCACUUCAUGUUACAUAGGAUAUGUGGGUGUGUUGAAGUCCUCACUCAACACCUAGCAUCCUACCUGGCACUUCCAUCCAUUCUACUCACUACAGGUGAGUUCAUACCCCUACACCUUUUACCGAGUUUUCACGUUUUCAGGGGAAAUACAAGCAAAAGUACAAGGGAACUUGUACUCAAAAUCUAUUAUUUCGUAUGAAAUAGUUACAUGUUCAGUACGCUUUUAACACAGAAAACUGUUUUACCAACCGAUUAAUAAAUCAACUUGCAAAGUUAGUUUUCAAAACUAAAGCAAGGAAACUCGAGAAUCUCAUCAUAAAAUCUUAUAUUUUAUAUUUUAUAAAGGAUUCAUGCCAACCAUAAAACAGGAAUUUCUGUAUUAUUACUUGUAAAUUCAUUAUUCUUAAGAUUGGAGACAUGUCCUUGGUAACAAUCCACCGGAAUACGCGAGUGUAGGACUAACCCUGUAACCAAAAUCUCUUGGAGGGAGAACGUGACUAUUGUGUAUAGAUCUAUACGGGACUGACUACCCCACACCUUGCUGCUAGCUACAGUGGGACCGACAGGUCUACGGGUGACAAAGUCAUAAGAGAUACUGGCCCCUGUUACGCGCCAUAUCCAGUUUAUUGUAUGCUUAUAGAACUCGCAACUUAGAUAAUGGAGAUUUACUUUUGGUAAUAAUGAACCUAGUGAACUAAUGUCAAAGUGACAAUUGUUUUGAUUACUAUAGGGUAUCAGUAAUACCCUUAGGAAUUAGUUCACUACUUACUUAUUAGUUUUAUAUGUGUAUUAAAGCUAAUGCAUCUCAUUGAGUGUAAUUGAGUUUUUCAUGAAAACUAUACCUAACGAUACAAGUAUGGUAGAUACUUGUACACUUCAUUUCAGGAUCGAUAAUUAACUAUUAACUUUUAAGGAAAAUAUAGGUUUUUCCUGGGAUAACUUAACCUUUCAUAAAUAGGUUGUUUAACAAAUGGAUAACCAAACUUCUUAUAUAAGAAAAUAUGGGAUUUUCUUGGCAAACAACUUUUCAUAAAAUCAAAGGAACAUUUUCAUUCACCAGAAUCAACCGCUUAUGAACUCACCAGCUUUAUGCUGAUAUUUCUAAAACUGCUUGUAUUGUCGGGUCAACCAUAGACAAGUAUUUAUGCCAACGUUUGGAGAAGAUGGAGCAUUUUUGGAAGUCACAUCUUUUACUUUUAUUAUAUACUGAUAUGUAUAAACCAAGUUUUGAACAAUGUAAAUAUUCAUAUUAAUGUAAUGGUUGUGUUUACUAUGCUUGAUAUACAACUGUUGUGAUACUACGCAUUACGUCCUCCGCCCCGGAACGUUUCCGUCGCUGGUUUCGGGGUGUGACAGAUUGGUAUCAGAGCUAUUAUUUAUAGUGAACUAAGUAUACCAAACCUUACAUGGUAUAAAACUAUAAACACUAAGGGGCCGAAUUGCUUUGAACUAAAAGUAUACUUUAAAAAUAUAAGUAUUUUUACUCCAAGUAUACAAGUAUACCUACAUACCAGAAUCUGUAUCAUGAAAAGAACCAAACAAAAGUAUUUGGAUUUUGAACACUGUGGUUAAACCCGGGUAGUUAUGUAAUCAUGUCUAGGGUUAAUAUAGCCUGAUCAACUAUAUUCAUUCGAGACAUGACCAACAUGUGAUUGGGAGUGACUGUAGGGUUGCAACAGGCCUAAAACUUACCAAAAUCUUCCUACCAAAAGUUAUCGAUAGAAAAAAACCUUCAACAUAAAAUACUAUAGGAGUAUGUUAGUCAGAGUUGAAUACGUUGUAGAAAUUCAUUCCAAGUGUUGCUACUCAUUCUUUCCUUAGCGAUAGUUUACUUGCUUUAGUAACUCUUUCCUGUUCUAUCGCUUAGUAGAACAUUUUAUCUAUCAUAUAGAGAUACAUCUUGUUUCGUAUCUUCUAAUUCAAUUCAGUGGACUUACCAUCCUCUCCUUCCAGAUCAGUUUAGAACGAGAUGCCUCCAAAGAAAAGACCCAGCUCAAAGAACAACAAUCCUCUACCUCCACCUUCUCAGUUUGAUCCCACUAUGUUCCAGGCAGCUAUUACUGUCGUGGUGGCUACCGCAAUGUCACAAAUGAACCCUGGUGGUUCUGGCGGGCCAGGAGUUGGUACCCAAACCCAAAAUCAGGAAAGUGGUCAAGGACACCAGGAGGAGUGCUCCUAUAAGGACUUCAUGAAUGCAAAACCCACAUCCUUCGAUGGCAUUGGAGGUGAUAUUGCCCUGACACGAUGGUUCGAAAAGAUCGAGUCCAUUUUCGAAAUUUGUUCCUAUUCUGAAGUCAACAAAGUAAAGUUUCCCGCUUGCACCUUCGCCAACAGGGCACUAACCUAGUGGAAUGGUCGGGUCAAAUCCCUAACCCUACCAGUGGCAAAUGCUAUGGGUUGGGAGAGCUUGAAAGAGCUCAUGCUUGCUGAGUACUGCCUCGGGGCGAAAUGCAGAAACUAGAGCACGAACUUUGGAACCUAAAGAUGAAGGGUUAUGAUGUUGUUGCCUACACAACUAGGUUUGAAGACCUAGCGCUCCUCUGCCCGGGGAUGGUCACCCCGGAAAGCAAAAAGAUUGAAAGAUAUAUUUGGGGGCUGACCCAGCCAACCAAAGGAAAUGUCUUGGCUGCUAGGCCAAACACCUUCGACAACGCUAAGUGCCUAGCACAGACUCUGAUCGAUCAUAGAGUCGAUCUCGAUGAAGUGACCACCACUCCUGAACCGGCUAAAAGGAGUGGUGAGAAAAACAAAUUGGAAACAGAAGAAGGGUCAGUCUUCGCAGGAGCCCUCAAAGAAACGAAAAAUCACGCGGAAAACCCCGUUUGCGGUUAGCAUUUGGUGGACCCCCACCCUGGCCGUAAACUCAACCCUAUAUAAGGGUUGAGUGGUCUUCAUUCCCACCUUUUUCACACACUAGAAACUUUCUCUCUCGACUCUCACUAUACAAUUUCGGGUUUUGAUCAUGAAACACUCUUUCAAGCUUCACAUAAGUAAGUAAACCCCUCCUAGCUAGUUGUUUGCUUAGCAUACUUGCAAAUCUAUGGAUUAAACACCUAAAAACCCCAAGAACAUUGGGUUUACGGUUUGGGAACCUCCCAAAACCGUAAACACCCCAAAAAGGGGUUUUGAUGCCCCAAACUCCUUCCAAUGCUUGACUAAUGAACUAGGAACUUACAUGAAUGAUCUAAGAGCCCCAAAACACGAAAUGAAAGGAGUAAACAUGAGUUUAUGGUUUGGGAACCUCCCAAAACCUAAAACACUUUCUAAGGGUGUUAAAAUGCCCUUAACGCCUUCUAUGGCUUGUAUAAGUGGAUAGAACUUUGUAUGCUUAACCUAGAUGCACCAAAACACACAAGGAAGGGACAAACAUGAGUUCACGGCCGUAAAAUCAUGUGGUUAUGGUAGUAAACUCCCCAAGGAGGGAUUCAAAAACUAUAAACUCCUCAACGGGGUCCAUUUCAAGCCCCAAUCACUUCCAUAGCCCUUGAUUUGAGUCUAGCAUAAUUCUUUGAGUAGCUUAAGACCUUUGAGCACCAAUGACACCAUUGCCAUGAGUUUACAGUCGUAAACUCAUGGGGGUGAUGGUCUUGGAACCGUAAACACCCUUAAGGGCUACUAUUUGAAGAGUAAACUCCAAAGUGAGGCCAUACUCCCCUUAGAUGCAACUCCUAACACUCCAAGCUCUAGAAUCAAAGUGUUUUCAUGCGUUAAACUGCCUUUACUUACUUAAUUAGUGAUUAAGUAACCAAUUAGGUACCAUUAUGUAUCACUUCGUGUUACAUAGGAUCUGUGGGUGUGUUGAAGUCCUCACUCAACACCUCGCAUCCUACCCGGCACUUCCAUCCAUUCUACUCACUACAGGUGAGUUCAUACCCCUACACCUUUUACCGAGUUUUCACGUUUUCAGGGGGAAUACAAGCAAAAGUACAAGGGAACUUGUACUCAAAAUCUAUUAUUUCGUAUGAAAUAGUUACAUGUUCAGUAUGCUUUUAACACAGAAAACUGUUUUACCAACCGAUUAAUAAAUCAACUUGCAAAGUUAGUUUUCAAAACUAAAGCAAGGAAACUCGAGAAUCUCAUCAUAAAA
rnacentral:lncRNA from 1 species